GCAAUCCUUAAAGGGGCCAAGGAUUUUCUUUCCCCUGCUGGCCCAGAAAAAGGCUCCCCACCUCUGAGGCUGGUCGGAGGGAAUUUUGAGAAAAGUAAG